rfam:Gammaproteobacteria bacterium RIFCSPHIGHO2_12_FTLL_36_30 rifcsphigho2_12_scaffold_19819, whole genome shotgun sequence.
CCUGGUGGCUAUAGCGAGCGGGAACCACCUGAUCCCAUUCCGAACUCAGAAGUGAAAACGCUCAGCGUCGAUGAUAGUGUGGUGUAUUCCAUGCGAAAGUAGAACACUGCCAGGG